AUGCAUGUUGACAGCCUAUUCCGCCCGAUCGAGCUUGCCUAUCAACUCGCCCCCGUCCAGGAUGCUGCCAAACAUGGCGGCCUCAAACAGAUAGUUCACCUGCCAGGCAUGGUGGCUUGCAUGGGCGACCAGCCAAACCAUUUCGUCGAUGAGGCCCUUGGAGAAGAGCUGGACCAUUUGCAGGCGCGAGGAUUCAAUGAGGUGUUUCUCACGCUGCUCGUCCACCUCGCCCAUCCGGACGUACUCCAGCGGACCGGUGACAAUGGACGACCAAAGGGCGGCCAGCAGGUGGUCUUGGUCUCCUUUUACUUUGAGGAAGCGCCAGACAUGGUCGCAGGUUUCUUCCCCAUUGCAGGCAUACUCAGGGUCAAGGGGCCUGCUGAAGCCGGUGGUAUGAAAGUCGGUGUCGAAGACCUCGUCGAAGUCGGCCUCGCGCUGGGGCUGCGCCGGGGACUUGCGGGCCUUGGGCCAUCCUAG
rnacentral:rRNA from 1 species